rnacentral:tRNA from 1 species
AUUAUUUUGGCAGAUUAGUGUGUUAAAUUUAGAAUUUAAUUAUGUAAAGUUUAUUUACAAAUAAUA